rnacentral:rRNA from 1 species
UUUAACGGCCGCAGUAUUUUGACUGUGCAAAGGUAGCAUAAUCAUUAGUUUUUUAAUUAAAAGCUUGUAUGAAAGGUUGGACGAGAAAAAAUCUGUCUCUAAUUAAUUUAUAAUAGAAUUUUAUUUUUAAGUUAAAAAGCUUAAAUUUAUAUAAAAGACGAGAAGACCCUAUAAAGCUUUAUAUUUAUAUAUAUUUUAUUAAUUAAGAUUAUUUUAAAUUUAAAUAUUUAAAAAUAUUUUAUUGGGGUAAUAAGAAGAUUAAUAUAAUUCUUUUUUUAUUAAAACAAUGAUUUUUGAUUAAAUGAUCCAUUUUUAGUGAUUAUAAGAUUAAGUUACUUUAGGGAUAACAGCGUAAUUUUUUUUAAGAGUUCUUAUCGAUAAAAAAGUUUGCGACCUCGAUGUUGGAUUAAAGAUUAAUUUAGGUGUAGAAUUUUAAAUGUUUGGUCUGUUCGACCAUUAAAUCUUUACAUGAUCUGAGUUCAGACCGGUUUAAGCCAGGUCGGUUUCUAUCUUUAUUUAUUUAAUAUAUUUUAGUACGAAAGGACCAAAUAUUUAAUAUAUUUUAUUUAUUAAUUUGAAUAUUAUUAUUAUUUUGGCAGAUUAGUGCAAUAAAUUUAGAGUUUAUAUAUGUAAUUUAUUUUACAAAUAAUAUUGUUUUAUAUGGAUUUAUUUUUAAUAUUUAUUUGUUUAUUUUUAUUGGUUAUUUGUGUAUUAGU